rnacentral:rRNA from 1 species
UAAUGCUUGGGAAUCUAGCUUAUGGAGGGGGAUAGCUACGGGAAACUGUAGCUAAUACCGCGUAGAAUCGAGAGAUGAAAGUGUGGGACCUUCGGGCCACAUGCCAUAGGAUGAGCCCAAGUGGGAUUAGGUAGUUGGUGAGGUAAAGGCUCACCAAGCCGACGAUCUCUAGCUGGUCUGAGAGGAUGACCAGCCACACUGGGACUGAGACACGGCCCAG